AGAGUUUGAUCAUGGCUCAGGACGAACGCUGGCGGCACGCUUAACACAUGCAAGUCGAACGAGAGAAGAGGAGCUUGCUUUUCUGAUCUAGUGGCGGACGGGUGAGUAACACGUGAGCAAUCUGCCUUUCAGAGGGGGAUACCGAUUGGAAACGAUCGUUAAUACCGCAUAACAUAAUUGAACCGCAUGAUUUGAUUAUCAAAGAUUUAUCGCUGAAAGAUGAGCUCGCGUCUGAUUAGCUAGUUGGUAAGGUAACGGCUUACCAAGGCGACGAUCAGUAGCCGGACUGAGAGGUUGAUCGGCCACAUUGGGACUGAGACACGGCCCAGACUCCUACGGGAGGCAGCAGUGGGGAAUAUUGCACAAUGGAGGAAACUCUGAUGCAGCGAUGCCGCGUGAGGGAAGAAGGUUUUAGGAUUGCAAACCUCUGUCUUCAGGGACGAAAAAAGACGGUACCUGAGGAGGAAGCUCCGGCUAACUACGUGCCAGCAGCCGCGGUAAUACGUAGGGAGCGAGCGUUGUCCGGAAUUACUGGGUGUAAAGGGAGCGUAGGCGGGAUCGCAAGUCAGAUGUGAAAACUAUGGGCUUAACCCAUAAACUGCAUUUGAAACUGUGGUUCUUGAGUGAAGUAGAGGUAAGCGGAAUUCCUAGUGUAGCGGUGAAAUGCGUAGAUAUUAGGAGGAACAUCAGUGGCGAAGGCGGCUUACUGGGCUUUAACUGACGCUGAGGCUCGAAAGCGUGGGGAGCAAACAGGAUUAGAUACCCUGGUAGUCCACGCCGUAAACGAUGAUUACUAGGUGUGGGGGGACUGACCCCUUCCGUGCCGCAGCAAACGCAAUAAGUAAUCCACCUGGGGAGUACGACCGCAAGGUUGAAACUCAAAGGAAUUGACGGGGGCCCGCACAAGCAGUGGAGUAUGUGGAUUAAUUCGAAGCAACGCGAAGAACCUUACCAGGUCUUGACAUCGUAUGCAUAGCUCAGAGAUGAGUGAAAUCUCUUCGGAGACAUAUAGACAGGUGGUGCAUGGUUGUCGUCAGCUCGUGUCGUGAGAUGUUGGGUUAAGUCCCGCAACGAGCGCAACCCUUACUGUUAGUUGCUACGCAAGAGCACUCUAGCAGGACUGCCGUUGACAAAACGGAGGAAGGUGGGGAUGACGUCAAAUCAUCAUGCCCCUUAUGACCUGGGCCUCACACGUACUACAAUGGCUGUCAACAGAGGGAAGCAAAGCCGCGAGGUGGAGCGAACCCCUAAAAGCAGUCUUAGUUCGGAUUGUAGGCUGCAACCCGCCUACAUGAAGUCGGAAUUGCUAGUAAUCGCAGAUCAGCAUGCUGCGGUGAAUACGUUCCCGUGCCUUGUACACACCGCCCGUCACGCCAUGGGAGUCGGUAACACCCGAAGCCUGUAGUCUAACCGCAAGGAGGACGCAGUCGAAGGUGGGAUUGAUGACUGGGGUGAAGUCGUAACAAGGUA
rnacentral:rRNA from 1 species